UCCGCAAUGGUCCAAUGGCUAGGAUUUCACGCUUUCACCGUGACGGCCCGGGUUCAAUUCCCGGUUGCGGAG
rnacentral:tRNA from 31 species